rnacentral:rRNA from 1 species
AUGUAAAUUCCUAUAGCAUAGAGUUAAUGCACCAGAUCCCAUUAGAACUCCGCAGUUAAGCGCACUCAAGCUAGAGUAGUACUGGGAUGGGUGACCACCUAUGAAGUCCUAGUGCUUUACAUG